AUUGCUUCUCGGCCUUUUGGCUAAGAUCAAGUGUAAUACAGUGACAGAUAAGAUGAAACUCAUUAUUUUAUAAUUACAACUUUC
rnacentral:snRNA from 1 species